AAUUAAGAGAACAUGAUGUUGGUUCAGAUCAAAUGCUAUGUAGAGACAUAACACAUGCAAGUUAUUUUAAAAAAAUAGCGUUAAGGUGAGUGAUAUAAGAUAAAGAAAGAAUCUUAAACAGAUGUAGGUAUUAGAGAGAUCUAGCCAAGGAACUGGAGCCGGCGAUAAGCGUCACAACGGCCACAUUGAGAAAUCAACUCUUAUAAAGAGCAGCAGUGGGGAAUCUUUGACAAUGGUCAAACGACUGAUCAAGUUAUCUACGAGAAGGGAAUUAAAAAAUAAAAAAUAAUAAAAGAAAAACUAUAAACUUCUAAAUAAUAGUAAUAAUGAUACUAAUUAUGAAAGAGUCCUAACUAAAAUAUGUGCCAGCAGCUGCGGUGUGCGACAAGAAGCUGUUAUUUACAAUUCGAAGUUAUAAUUUAUAAUAUUUCGACAUUAUUCGUAACAAAUAUGUACCUAUCUACACAUGCGUCAAGAGUGAUCCUGAGGUAUGAAGCUGUAGAGACAAUGUAACCAAAAACUAUUAUUACAUAGUUAUGGAGCUAGGUAAGUUUACUAUGGUUAGCGCAAGUUAACUACUCGAUGAGACCUCUUUAAGCUGAACCUUUAAUUGUAUUUUAUUACAAUAAAGAGUUUGUCAGGAGUCUGGAUAGAAUCAUCGUAUGUCUAUUCUGUUAUAGACGUUAGAACUGAUAGGGGUAAAGAGUUGAACCUAAGGUAAAUAUAAGUGUAAAUAAUGGAACUUGGUAAGCCUCAUAUUCACUAUUUAUAAGGUAACUUUAAAAUAGAGGUUAUUUAUAAAUUAUGGUUUUGUAGACCUUAUGAAAUAAUAAUAUCGAAUAGGAGGUAGAAGACUUCUUAAAAAGCAAAUGCAAUAAUGUAAUGUUAUUGAUAGGUUUUAUAACUAACCUGAAAGGGUGCUGACUUAAGAUAUGGGUGUUAUAACUGCUAUUUAUUUGUAGAAUUGACCUUUGUUUUAUACCCUCAAUUUUAUUAAAGGUAUAAUUCAUUUAUUGUGUGGAAUUUGUUAUUAAAGCUUAACGAUAUGAAUAAUUUUAACAUUUUUUUACAUUAUAUUGAUUUCAAUUGUCAUAAAUUUAUAUUAAAGUUCUCCUAAAGAAAAUAGCAGAAGCAGCAAAAGUUAGUAAUAGUCUUAAAAUUAUUUUACUUCAAAAAUUAAUAACCACAUCUAAUAUUCAUCUUUAUUAGCUAAAUUAAUACAUCAUGAGAUAUAUAGUAUAAUCUAUAUUCCUAUGGUAAUAAAAUACUAUUAGGUAUCCCUAUAAUUAAAUAUGCAAUAUUUGUAUAGUAUAAUUGCUAUUAGCUGGACUAUAACUCAUUUAUAGACAAUCACAGCAGCAGUUUAUGUUUUAUUUACAUAAUAAUUGAAUUAUGGAUAAUAUACCUAUUGAUAAAGUAUAUUAGAAGAAUUUAUGAAAGUCAAUGAUAGAUAAUAAAAUUAUAUAUAUCACCACCCGCAACAUGGUUGCGGGUUUAAGUUAUAAGUAAUUUAAAAUGUUAUGCAAUUGAUUUUAUAGUAUCUUAUCCUUAUGAUUGGUUAACAGUUAUAGUGAAGGAUGCGAUAAAAGAAUUCUGUAAAUCUUAUUUCUUUAAAUAAAACUAAAGUAACAACAUCCGUAGAUGGAAUAUAGUUAUUAGGAGUCAUGUGGGCUCAUAAAAACAUUAAUGAUAAAUAAAAUUAUUAGAGUUAAAAAUAAUUUAAAGAAAACUAUAAUUUAGUAUUAAAAUAUAUAAUAGUGAUUAUUGAAUAAUAUAUAUAUAAUAAAGUCUAUUAGAUAUAAAUUGUAUAAAAAUUUAUAAAAAAGACAAUAGGUUAUAUAAAAGGAAUAAAGCUAUGUAUCUUAGCCGGCAACGAGUUGCCGGCGUAAAUGAAUUUAGUGAAGUAAAUGAAUAUGUAAAGAGAAAAUAGAUAGAACAAAUAAAAAGUAAAUAAGUUUAAGAUAAUUAAAAGAUAAGUAGCAGCUAAUAUAUAUAAAAAAUAUAAAAAUAAUAAGGCCUGAGCCGUAUGCGAUGAAAGUCGCAUGUACGGUUCUAAGGGGGGGAAAGCUUGUGAAAGCCUACCUAUCCUGAUUAGACAUAGAGGGCAAGCAUUGAUCAGAAUGGCUUAAAGGAUCUGUAGAACGAAUCUUUAUAAAAAGAAAUAGAAUAAUGACUCGAGAGAGGAGAGGUAAUAAGAAUUAAAGUUAGAGGGAUAAAAUACGACGAAAACAUUAAGACUAUAAAGAGAUUACUAAAAAUUAUUGACGUUGUGAGAUGAAGGCUACGGUAGCGACAUGGAUUCGAUACCCAUUUAGUCGUAGCAGUAAACUAUGAAUACAAUAAAAAAAGAAAUGAAAAUGAAUAGUAUUCCGCCUGACUAGUACGCUCGCAAGGGUGAAAUACAAGACAUUAGACGGUUGUAGUCCCAAGCAGUGGAACAUGUCAUUUAAUUGGAUGAUCCUCCAAGAACCUUACCAUCUCUUGAAUUUAUAACAGGCGUUACAUCGUUGUCGUCAGUUCAUGCCGUGAGGUUUAAUAUUAAGUUAUUGAAUGAACGUAACCCUUUUCUUAUGAUAAGUAUAAUUGUAAAAUUAUAGGAAGUAGAGGUAGAAGACUAAUCAUGAUGACCCUAAUGAGAUGGGCUAUCGACGUGUUACAAUAUUAAUAACAAUUAUAUUAACUUUCGUUAUUUUAUUAAAUAUUAAGAUUAAGACAUAGUUUCAUUUAUGAAUUGUAAUCUGAAAUUCGGUUACAUAAAGGAGGAAUUGCUAGUAAUCGUAAACUAGAGUGUUACGGUGAAAUUUUUUGCUACUUCGUACUAACCACUCAUCAACAGCAAGAAAUUUUUCUUUACCUUAUUGAGGAUUUAUUAAAAGGACUUGCUGUAAGUUGAAAUACGGUUCGGUUAGGGGAACCUGAUCGGGAUUUAUAUAUUUA
rnacentral:rRNA from 1 species